rnacentral:rRNA from 1 species
AAUGCCUAGGAAUCUGCCUGGUAGUGGGGGAUAACGUUCGGAAACGGACGCUAAUACCGCAUACGUCCUACGGGAGAAAGUGGGGGAUCUUCGGACCUCACGCUAUCAGAUGAGCCUAGGUCGGAUUAGCUAGUUGGUGGGGUAACGGCUCACCAAGGCGACGAUCCGUAACUGGUCUGAGAGGAUGAUCAGUCACACUGGAACUGAGACACGGUCCAGACUCCUACGGGAGGCAGCAGUGGGGAAUAUUGGACAAUGGGCGCAAGCCUGAUCCAGCCAUGCCGCGUGUGUGAAGAAGGUCUUCGGAUUGUAAAGCACUUUAAGUUGGGAGGAAGGGCAGUCAGCUAAUACCUGGUUGUUUUGACGUUACCAACAGAAUAAGCACCGGCUAACUUCGUGCCAGCAGCCGCGGUAAUACGAAGGGUGCAAGCGUUAAUCGGAAUUACUGGGCGUAAAGCGCGCGUAGGUGGUUCAGCAAGUUGGAGGUGAAAUCCCCGGGCUCAACCUGGGAACUGCCUCCAAAACUACUGAGCUAGAGUACGGUAGAGGGUGGUGGAAUUUCCUGUGUAGCGGUGAAAUGCGUAGAUAUAGGAAGG